UACGUAGGGCGCAAGCGUUGUCCGGAAUUAUUGGGCGUAAAGAGCUCGUAGGCGGCUUGUCACGUCGGGUGUGAAAGCCCGGGGCUUAACCCCGGGUCUGCAUUCGAUACGGGCUAGCUAGAGUGUGGUAGGGGAGAUCGGAAUUCCUGGUGUAGCGGUGAAAUGCGUAGAUAUCGAGAGGAACACCUGCGGCGAAGGCGGGUUGCUGGGCUGACACUGACGCUGAACUGCGAAAGCUAGGGGAGCGAACGGG
rnacentral:rRNA from 1 species